UCAUAGUAGAGGAGUCCCAUAAUAGGACGAAACGGCCGUCCAGUGU
rnacentral:hammerhead_ribozyme from 1 species